rnacentral:rRNA from 1 species
CCUACGGGUGGCAGCAGUGGGGAAUAUUGGGCAAUGGACGAGACUCUGACCCAGCCACGCCGCGUGAAUGAUGACGGUCUUCCGGGUUGAAAGUUCUUUUCUAAAAGGAGAAAAGUGUGACAGUACCUUAGUAAUAUGCGUCGUCUAAGUACGUGCCAGCAGACGCGGUGAUACGUAGGAGGCGAGCGUUAUCCGGAAUUGCUGGGUGUAAAGAGUGCGUAGGUGGUUUGGGAAGUUAGUUGCGUAACUUCACGGCUCAACCGUGGAAUUGCUAUUAAUACUGGCGGUCUUGAGUGCAGUGGGGGUAAGCGGAAUUCGUGGUGUAGCGGUGAAAUGCGUAGAUAUCACGAAGAACACCGGUUGCGAAGGCGGCUUGCUAGACUGCCACUGACAUUGAGGCACGAAAGUGUGGGGAGCAAACAGGAUUAGAUACCCCUGUAGUC